GUUUUUAUAGGUUGAUGCCCAGAAAUGUCCAGAACGAAAGAAGAAAAGAGAAAAUACAGGCAGAGGACAGGAUCUCGGUAGAAACAGACACCACCACACACUUCUAGUGGAUCAUAAGUGAUUAUUGAGAGGGAUUCUUUUUGUAUGACAUUGUUU